UACGUAGGGUGCAAGCGUUGUCCGGAAUUAUUGGGCGUAAAGAGUUCGUAGGCGGUUUGUCGCGUCCGUUGUGAAAGCUUGGGGCUCAACCCCAAGUCUGCAGUGGAUACGGGCAGACUAGAGUCGGGUAGGGGAGAACGGAAUUCCUGGUGUAGCGGUGAAAUGCGCAGAUAUCAGGAAGAACACCCGUGGCUAAGGCGGUUCUCUAGUACGGUACUGACGCUGAGACGCGAAAGCGUGGGGAGCGAACAGG
rnacentral:rRNA from 1 species